UACGGGGGGAGCAAGCGUUGUUCGGAUUUACUGGGCGUAAAGGGCGCGUAGGCGGUCAGCACAAGUCAGUUGUGAAAUCUCCGGGCUUAACUCGGAAAGGUCAACUGAUACUGUGCGACUAGAGUGCGGAAGGGGCAACUGGAAUUCUUGGUGUAGCGGUGAAAUGCGUAGAUAUCAAGAGGAACACCUGCGGCGAAGGCGGGCUGCUGGGCCGACACUGACGCUGAGGCGCGAAAGCCAGGGGAGCGAACGGG
rnacentral:rRNA from 1 species